rnacentral:hammerhead_ribozyme from 1 species
AUCCAGAUGAUGAGUCCCAAACAGGACGAAAUACGCCACAAGCUGGAU